rnacentral:rRNA from 1 species
GUUAAAAAGCUCGUAGUUGGAUUUCUGUGAGAGUAUGAUGUCCUAACGUGUUUAGAGCGCAGAAAACUCUUGCAUCCUUCUGUUACCUCCACGUGGCAUUCGCUUGCCAGUGGUUGGCUCAGAGAAUUUACCUUGAGAAAAUUAGAGUGUUUCAGGCAGGCUUAGUCGGAAUACAUUAGCAUGGAGUAAUAGAAUAGGACUCCGGUCUCGUUGUUGGAUUGAGGGACUGUAGUAAUGAUUAAUAGGGAUAGUUGGGGGCAUUAGUACUCGGUUGUCAGAGGUGAAAUUCUCAGAUUUAUUGAAGACUAACUUAUGCGAAAGCAUUUGCCAAGGAUGUUUUCAUUAAUCAAGAACGAAAGUUAGGGGAUCAAAGACGAUCAGAUACCGUCCUAGUCUUAACCAUAAACUAUGCCGACUCGGGAUUGGGGGCGUGUUAUUAUCCGCCUUCAGCACCGUAUGCGAAAUCAAAGUCUUUGGGUUCUGGGGGGGGUAUGGUCGCAAGGUUGAAACUUAAAGGAAUUGACGGAAGGGCACCACCAGGCGUGGAGCUUGCGGCUCAAUUUGACUCAACACGGGAAAACUUACCAGGUCCAGACAUAGUAAGGAUUGACAGAUUGAUAGCUCU